GGGCGAGUAGCUCAGCGGUUAGAGCAGGGCACUCAUAAUGCCUUGGUCGUGGGUUCGAUUCCCCCCUCGCCCACCA
rnacentral:tRNA from 1 species